AUGAAAUAAAAAACACAACAAAUAGGCGUUUGAAGCUUAGAAAUCUACAGGUAACACAACCAAGGUGAGUUUUUGUGUUUUGGAAAAUCAAAUGGAACACUUUGGCUGAGGUGACAGAUAUUAAUUGCCUCCAAAUUGAGUUUCACUGCGAUUUUCAGGUUAAUUCAGUCAGAAUUCCACAAGCUGUCAGCUGGAGGGGUGGAUGAAUCCGGGAACAGCCGGUUUCCUUGCGACUAAAUCAAGCCCAAUAUCAUUAUGGAUUCUUGCAUUUCUUUGGCUUUUUUCUCAUUUUUCUUAUUUAUCAUGGUUUGUAAUGAAUUUUCUGAUGUGAUCUUUGGUUUUGAGGCUGCAAUAUGGAGUUCAGGGCACCGGAGGAAUGGUCUUUUUCAAACAGGUCACAGCUGUUGGCCUGCUCCAAUUCUGGCUUGCUGCCAUUUAUUUGGGUGCCUCAGCUGACUUUCGGUUUCUUGAGUGGCAAUUUCCUAAAUGUUUUCUGGGUCUGAGUUGGUUUUGCCUUCUUCCUUCCCAAAUUUUCUUUUCUGAUGGCAUACAAACAAGACUUUGGACAGAGUAGACAUUAUGAAAUAAAAAACACAUCAAAUAGGCUUUUGAAAGCUACAGGUAACACGACCAAGGUGAGAUUUUGUGUUUUGUAAAAAGACAUGGAACACUUUUGCUGAGGUGACAGAUAUUAAUUGCCUCCAAACCGAGUUUCACAGCGAAUUUCAUUUUAAUUCAGUCAGAAACCACAGACACUCAGCUGGGAGGUAUAGAAGAAUCUGGAAACAGCCAUUAACAAGGGAAUAAAUCAAGCCCAAUAUCACUAAGAACUCCUGCAUUUCUUUGGAUUUUUUCUGAUUUUUCUUAUUUAUCAUGGUUUGUAAUGAAUUUUCUGAUCUGAGGUUUGGUUUUGAGGUUGCAAUAUCGAGUUCAGGACACCGGAGGAAUGGUCUUUUUCAAUCAGGGCACAGCUGUUGGCUUGCUCCAAUUCUGUCUUGCUUUCAAAGUUUUGGGUUCCUCAGCGGCCCUUUGUUGCUUGAGCGGCAAUUUCCUAAAUGUUUUCUGGGUCUGAGUUGGUUUUGCCUUCUUCCUUCCCAAAUUUUGUAAUCUGACGCAAUAGAAACAAAAGUUUGGGCAGAGUAGCCAUUAUGAAAUAAAAAACACAACAAAUAGGCGUUUGAAGCUUAGAAAUCUACAGGUAACACGACCAAGGUGAGUUUUUGUGUUUUGGAAAAUCAAAUGGAACACUUUGGCUGAGGUGACAGAUAUUAAUUGCCUCCAAACUGAGUUUCACUGCGAUUUUCAGGUGAAUUCAGUCAGAAUUCCACAGGCAGUCAGCUGGAGGGGUGGAUGAAUCCGGGAACAGCCCGUUUCCUUGCGACUGAAUCAAGCCCAAUGUCAUUAUGGAUUCUUGCAUUUCUUUGGCUUUUUUCUCAUUUUUCUUAUUUAUCAUGGUUUGUAAUGAAUUUUCUGAUGUCAGCUUUGGUUUUGAGUCUGCAAUAUGGAGUUCAGGGCACCAGAGGUAUGGUCUUUUUCAAACAGGGCACAGCUGUUGUGCUGCUCCAAUUCUGGCUUGCUGUCAUUGUUUUGAGUGCCUCAGCCGAUUUGUGGUUUCUUGAGCGGCAAUUUCCUAAAGGUUUUCUGGGUCUGAGUUGGUUUUGCCUUCUUCCUUCCCAAAUGUUGUAUUCUGACGCAAUACAAACAAGAGUUUGGGCGGAGUAGCCAUUAUGAAAUAAAAAACACAACAAAAAGGCGUUUGAAGCUUAGAAAAAUACAGGUAACACGACCAAGGUGAGUUUUUGUGUUUUGGAAAAUAAAAUGGAACACUUUGUUGAGGUCACAGAUAUUAAUAGCCUCCAAACUGAGUUUCACUGCGAUUUUCAGGUGAAUUCAGUCAGAAGUCCACAGGCAGUCAGCUGGAGGUGUGGAUGAAUCCGGGAACAGCCGGUUUCCUUGCGACUAAAUCAAGCCCAAUAUCAUUCUUGAUUCUUGCAUUUCUUUGGCUUUUUUCUCCUUUUUCUUAUUUAUCAUGGUUUGUAAUGAAUUUUCUGAUGUGAGCUUUGGUUUUGAGGUUGCAAUAUUGAGUUCAGGGCACCUGAGGAAUGGUCUUUUUCAAACAGGGUACAGAUGUUGGCUUGCUCCAAUUCUGGCUUGCUGUCAUUGUUUUGGGAGCCUCAGCUGACUUUUGGUUUCUUGAGCCACAAUGUCCUAAAUGUUUUCAGGGUCUGAGUUGGUUUUGCCUUCUUCCUUCCCAAAUUUUGUAUUCUGAUGGAAUACAAACAAGAGUUUGGACAGAGCAGUCAUUAUGAAAUAAAAAACACAACAAAUAGGCGUUUGAAGCUUAUAAGUCUACUCGAAACACGACCAAGGUGAGUAUUUGUGUUUUGGAAAAUA